GAUGAACGCUGGCGGCGUGCCUAAUACAUGCAAGUCGAGCGAACAGACGAGGAGCUUGCUCCUCUGACGUUAGCGGCGGACGGGUGAGUAACACGUGGAUAACCUACCUAUAAGACUGGGAUAACUUCGGGAAACCGGAUCUAAUACCGGACAAUAUAUUGAACCGCAUGGUUCUAUAGUGAAAGACGGUUUUGCUGUGCCUUGUUGAUGGAUCCUCGCCGCAUGGGCUAGUGGGUAAGGUAACGGCUUACCAAGGCGACGAUGCGUAGAUGACCGGACAGGGUGAUCAGGCAAACUGGAACUGAGACACGGUCCAGACUCCGACGGGAGGCAGCAGGAGGGAAUAUUGGACAAUGGGCGAAAGCCUGAACCAGCCAUGCCGAGUGUGUGAAGAAGGUCUUCGGAUUGUAAAGCACUUUAAGUUGGGAGGAAGGGCAGUAAGUUAAUACCUUGCUGUUUUGACGUUACCAACAGAAUAAGCACCGGCUAACUUCGUG
rnacentral:rRNA from 1 species